rnacentral:tRNA from 1 species
GGGGUUGUAGCUCAAUGGUAGAGCACUUGCCUCUCAUGCAGGAGGCCCUGGGUUUGGUCCCUAGCACCCCA